rnacentral:rRNA from 1 species
GUGCCAGCAGCCGCGGUAAGACGAACCGUCCUAACGUUGUUCGGAAUCACUGGGCUUAAAGGGCGCGUAGGCGGCUUGCCAAGUCAGGGGUGAAAUCCUGCAGCUUAACUGUAGAAGGGCCUUUGAUACUGGCAAGCUCGAGGGAGGUAGGGGUCGCUGGAACUUCCGGUGGAGCGGUGAAAUGCGUUGAUAUCGGAAGGAACGCCGGUGGCGAAAGCGAGCGACUGGACCUCUUCUGACGCUGAGGCGCGAAAGCUAGGGGAGCAAACGGGAUUAGAAACCCUCGUAGUCC